UGGCCGGGCACUGCCACGUCAGCGAGAGGCACCGCAACCUGGCCGCCCUCGACUUUCCCUUCUGGAGAGGGAGGAGCCCUGUGGCGUGAGGUACCCCAGGGACGGCUUCGGGGCUACAGGAAAGCCUUGCUCCAAAAACGACAACGGGCACCUUUGCGUCCGAAUUGCUGUCGAUCAUGUUUCAUACAACUGAAAGAAGUUUCUAGAACCUUAUUAUCCUGGUUCUCUGCUCAAAAAGAAGCCUGAGCAACUGGGCUGAGAUGAGCUCGUGUAUGUAUGUUUAUCAGCAAAUAACCAGUAGCUUCUGACAUCUCAGCUUUCUUUCUAUAAGACAGGAAAGGUUUAGUAUCAGAAAUACAUGGAUACAGAAAGAAAA